rnacentral:rRNA from 1 species
AUACGGAGGGUGCAAGCGUUAUCCGGAUUUAUUGGGUUUAAAGGGUGCGCAGGCGGACCUGUCAGUCAGUGGUGAAAUCCCGGGGCUCAACCCCGGAACUGCCAUUGAUACUACAGGUCUUGAAUACGGUUGAAGUAGGCGGAAUGUAGCAUGUAGCGGUGAAAUGCAUAGAUAUGCUACAGAACACCGAUCGCGAAGGCAGCUUACUAGGACGAUAUUGACGCUCAGGCACGAAAGCGUGGGUAGCGAACAGGAUUAGAAACCCCAGUAGUCC